rnacentral:rRNA from 1 species
GAUCCUGGCUCAGGAUGAACGCUAGCUACAGGCUUAACACAUGCAAGUCGAGGGGCAGCAUUGGAGUAGCAAUACUCAGAUGGCGACCGGCGCACGGGUGAGUAACACGUAUCCAACCUGCCGCUUACUCGGGGAUAGCCUUUCGAAAGAAAGAUUAAUACCCGAUGGUAUAAAGAGUUCGCAUGUUCUCUUUAUUAAAGAAUUUCGGUAAGCGAUGGGGAUGCGUUCCAUUAGAUAGUUGGCGGGGUAACGGCCCACCAAGUCUACGAUGGAUAGGGGUUCUGAGAGGAAGGUCCCCCACAUUGGAACUGAGACACGGUCCAAACUCCUACGGGAGGCAGCAGUGAGGAAUAUUGGUCAAUGGACGAGAGUCUGAACCAGCCAAAGUAGCGUGAAGGAUGACUGCCCUAUGGGUUGUAAACUUCUUCUAUAAGGGAAUAAAGUGAGGGACGUGUCCCUUUUUGUAUGUACCUUAUGAAUAAGGAUCGGCUAACUCCGUGCCAGCCGCCGC